UGUUAAUCUAUUUAUAAUUAUUUUAUUGAGAAGUUAUACUACAAGAAUUAUGUUUUGUGAUAUCAUUAUAAUAUGGUAAUGCAAUGAAGGAUAAAAGCAGGCGCCGUCAAGUGGCACAGUGUUCUCUCUCCUCCUUGAUGUUGUUAUGUCUCGUUAUCGUCUUAGUCCUACGUCUCGUUGUUGUGCAGCGAAAGGUUGUAUGGACAUUGUGUGUCUGGCUGGGACUUGGUGGCGGCUACUGGCUUGUGCUGAUUUUCGUGUUUUGGACUUUAUGUUUGCUUACAUGUUUUACUGUGAGGAAG
rnacentral:lncRNA from 1 species